GGAAGAAGAUCUGACGGUACUUGAGGAAUAAGCCACGGCUAAUUCCGUGCCAGCAGCCGCGGUAAUACGGGAGUGGCAAGCGUUAUCCGGAAUUAUUGGGCGUAAAGCGUCCGCAGGCGGCCUUUCAAGUCUGCUGUUAAAACGUGGAGCUUAACUCCAUCAUGGCAGUGGAAACUGUUGGGCUUGAGUGUGGUAGGGGCAGAGGGAAUUCCCGGUGUAGCGGUGAAAUGCGUAGAUAUCGGGAAGAACACCAAUGGCAAAGGCGCUCUGCUGGGCCAUCACUGACGCUCAU
rnacentral:rRNA from 1 species